AGAUCAUGGUCUUCGGAAAACCAAGAAACCAAAAAAGAAAACUAAGAAAAGAAGACACAAGUCGACCAGUCCGGACAGUGAGACGGACCCCGAAGACAAAGCCGGUAAGGAGAGUGAAGACAGAGAACAGGAACAGGACAGGGAACCCCGGCAGGCAGAGCUCCCUAACCGUUCCCCAGGCUUCGGAAUCAAGAAGGAGAAGGCUGGGACACAUCGGAAAGCGAGCUGAGUGAGGGGGAGCUGGAGAGGCGAAGGCGGACACUCCUACAACAGCUGGACGACCACCAAUGACCCCACGAGCUACUCUGCCUUGGGACUUCGUGAGGCAAUGGCUUCAGGGUGGC
rnacentral:lncRNA from 1 species